rnacentral:rRNA from 1 species
CGGCCGCGUCGACUGCUUUACGUGUAGAGUUUUGUAUGUACCUUAUGAAUAAGCAUCGGCUAACUCCGUGCCAGCAGCCGCGGUAAUACGGAGGAUGCGAGCGUUAUCCGGAUUUAUUGGGUUUAAAGGGAGCGUAGACGGGAUAGCAAGUCUGAUGUGAAAGGCGGGGGCUCAACCCCGAACUGCAUUGGAAACUGUUGACCUGGAGUGCCGGAGAGGUAAGCGGAAUCCCUAGUGUAGCGGUGAAAUGCGUAGAUAUUAGGAGGAACACCAGUGGCGAAGGCGGCUUACUGGACGGUAACUGACGUUGAGGCUCGAAAGCGUGGGGAGCAAACAGGAUUAGAUAACCCCUGGGUAGUCCACGCCGUAAACGAUGAAUACUAGGGUGUCGGGUUGCAAAGCAAUUCGGUGCCGCAGCUAACGCAUUAAGCACUCCGCCUGGGGAUACGACCGCAAGGUUG